GGACCCGGAACCCGGGACAAAGCGCAAGCCUGAGGGCUCCGAGACCUGCUAGGACUCUCUCGAACUUUCUUGCUGGCAGCUGGGACCUUCUCAGAAACUGAGGCAGUGCAAAGGCCCCCCACUUCAACCUGUAAUGCUUUGGAUCAAAUCAGAAAGAUUUCAAACAUGUUGCUCAGAGGUCUUGCUAAAUUGCUGAAGCUGAUCUUGAACUUUAAU